AAGGCUUUUCAAAUAGAAUUUCUAAAUCCCCAGGACUGCAGAAACUGACGAGCAGGGCAGUGGUUACCUCCUCUGACUCAUCCUUUCUCAGCAGACCUCCUGACUCAGUAGGUACCAAGACACUGGAACUUUAGAUUUUCACUAAGAGAUAACUGAAGUGUAGUGGGAGAUGUCUGUACGUCUGCAACCUGCACCACAGCUCACGGCAACACGGGAUCCCUCCCCACUGAGCAAGGCCAGGGAUGGAACCCACAUCCUCAUGGAUACUAAAUGUGGGCACCCUGGCUGGAGCUCCUGAAGCCAUCUUGUGACCUUGAGGAUAGAAGUCAUGGGCCAAGGAUGGGCCAAGCUGAGUGAGAAGUCACCUCCAUACCAGUCCUGAAUUGCCUGCUUUGAAACUUCUUCAUAAAAGAAAUGUGAGACUUCAUUUAAUUUAAGCCACUUUAGUUUUCUCUUUUAGACAGCUAAAUCAAAAUCCGAUACAACAACCACGCAGUUUCAUGCCUCUGAGUUUUUGCAUAGCUGUUCUCUCUGCUAGGAACUUUUCCUUCCAGUCCUCUACCUGGUGAACUUGUAAUCGUGUUUGAAGCUUCCACUGCAGCAUCCCACUCUGUCAUAUGGAGGUUCCCAGGCUAGGGGUCCAAUCGGAACUGUAGCCACCAGCCUAUGCCAGAGCCACAGCAACAUGGGAUCUGAGCUGCGUCUGCUACCUACACCACAGCUCACAGCAAUGCCGGAUCUUAACCCACUGAGCAAGGCCAGGAAUUGAACCCACAACCUCAUGGUUCCUAGUCGGAUUCGUUAACCACUGAGCCAUGACGGGAACUCCAUUGUGAUUUCUUGAGCAAGAACUCAGUACCUGGGAUCGCCUUGAAGUGACCUAAUGCAGGUGGAAGCAGGGUUGAAGUUUCUCAGCAUGGUGUUCAGGCAAGUCUUUUGUGCUAUAGGGAGUUCACUGUCUAGGCCUCCCAGUGUUUAGGUCACUCACAUAUGGCUAUACAAGCAACAAGGCAAAGCCUAGAUUUAAAACACAAGCCUGCUUGACCACAAAGCCCAAAUCAACCCUUGCAUCUGGCUGGUAUUUGUAAUUUAGCUGAGGUGCUGAUUUGGAAUAAGCCCUGUGGGAGACUAGGGAGCAGGAGGGAGGCACUUAGCUGGGGACACUGCCCAGCUGCCCUCAGCAUCAUGAAUCUCCUCUGGUCCUAAGGCAGUAGAACUCUUAUGAAGGAACACAAAAGCCUGUUUUUUAAAAAAUCACUUUAUAGAAAUGUGCCACUGAGUGAGAAACACACACAUACACACACACAUGCCACAUAAGAAAGUUGGAGUGAUUAAGGUGUAAGAACUAUUUGCUUCCUCAUGGGAAAGUAAUUUAGGAGAAAGCUUGAACGUUUCUUUCACAAACAUGGGAACUCUCAGAAGUUUCUAGAAGUCCUCCAAACGUCACUAUCCUGAGCUACAAUGAACUCCCUGAGGUUUUGCCAAAGAGUACAGUUUUAGGAAUUAACAGAAAUUGGCCAUGAGGCGCUCUGCUGCAAGCCACAUCUUUAGCAAAAAGAGAUGUUAGCUACAGGACUUUCCGUGGCAGAGAACAUCAGGUUGCAAAAUUCGAGUCCUUCUCAGAGACUAAUGUAGAUAACUAUAGUUUGCCUCCUAGGACUCUCCCUGGCUUUGGUUGUCAUCAUUACGACCAUUCUUCCAAAUUACUGGGCGGGGGGGUGGUUAACAAGAACAACCCCACAACAGGGAAAACCCAGGGGGGACGGUAGUUUCCUCUAUCAGCUGAGCAGCCCCUGUCUGACAGAAAGGAUUAUUUUGCUCAGAGCCCAAUGCACCUACAUUUGGUAUAACCUCAUCAGAAAAAUGAGCCAGGGACUCUCAUAGUUUUUCCUGUCCAUCAGCCUUUCCCAAUGAGACAGACCUCUUACGGUGUGCUGGGACCCCAGGUUCUCGGGGGUUCUGGAGCACCAGCUGUGCUGACUCUGAGAAGAAUAUCUUGUCAGAGCCAGACUGUGAGGUCCACAUCCUGGGUCCUGGGCCUGAGCCUCCUGGUCUGUAAAGCCCCCCUGUGGGUCUUGCCAUAAGGAGGGGGUGAAUUUACUGCACAAUGAAGGGAGCCUGCCCAGGACAUGUUCACAACAUUGGCUCUUACCCAUCCAUCUGGGAUCUGGUGGCCAUCCUCUCUGAGCUGGGCUGUGGCCAACAGCGCAUGGUCAUCACCAAUGAUGACAGUGGUUAGAGUAUAUGUAUAGCUCACCAAGAAGGGAUGAGCUGCUAGGACAAGGUGACAAAUAGGUCCUCGGCAUGCAGGCGGGGGAGGGAGGAGAGUGGCCUCCAGCACAUACUGGCUGUGGGGUCUUGGGUCCCCUGCUUCCCCUUUCUGUGCCUCUAUUUCCCACUCUAAAAAAUGUCACAGGUUGAAGACCUCAUGUCAUCAUUCCCACACUUGCAUUCAAAGACUUCUAACCCCUGCCCUGGCCUGGGGAAGACAUUUUUGCAAAGUCAGAUUUUAUAACCAUCCCAGCUUCUGAUAUGUCUAAUUAUUGAGUGAGCAAACUGCCUGGAAUAAAAACUAAAACAUGGUAUG
rnacentral:lncRNA from 1 species